UUCAUUCCCAAAUCCCCCUUAUGUUGGGAGCACCCGCACAGUUCGUGCGUCCGCAUCCCCCUCCUCUCCCCUUCUGUUGUCUUUUCCUCUUCUCUGAGUCACAACCUCCCUACCAUCAUCUUCUUCACCAUCAUCACCAGCUCUUUCUCGUCAAUCACCCACCUUCGCUCACAACUGCCGCGGCGAGCUCGCAGCCGCCGGCAACCUCACCUAUUCUUCUCUUUCUCUUCCCCGUUUCCCGUUCACACCCUUCUCCGCCCGCAGCUCCGCGAGCCCAGCACCACCGUCGCCUUCCGUUUUCGCAGCCCUGUUACCCAACCGCGCCGCCGCGUCCUGUCUGGCAUCCCGGCCCUCCUCUUCGCGCUACAAGUAGCGCCGCAGAGCCCCCUUUGCGUGCUCUCCGCUCCUCCGCGCCACCUCAGCCGCGACACCACAGCCCCCCUUCAUCCAUAAUCGCCGGCGAUAACCCACACCACCGCGCCCCCUUCUCUUCCCCUUUCCUUCUUCUAGCUUCCACCAAGCUCAGUGCCAUCGCGACGUUAUCCUCGCGCCUCCUCUCCCGGCCAAACCACCACCGUGAACCACCGUAGCGUCCACCGUCGACGAGCCACGGCGACCCAACCCUCUUUCCUCCCACACACGAGCUCCUUCACCCUGUUGCUCUUCACCCAAAACAGGGCAAGGCCCCUGUUUUCAUUGCUGGGCAACUCUCCGCCGCUGCCAUUGAAGCAGCGCCCACACCGCCGCACCACCAGGUCAGCUGGGUUGCUCCAGCCGUUCACUCACCAUCACCACUGUUGAAGCCACCACCUCUGGGCUGGCAUCCCUCUGCUUCCGUUUCCCCUUCUCUUGUCCCUUCCCUUUCUCUGUUCUGUUUUUGCCCUUUCAGCUCUUUCCUUUUCAGCACCACCAUCACUCUUGUAGCGACUCUAUCGCCUAACCCACUAGCUGAAGGUGGAGGUGACACAGUGACGAUUCUUUCCACUCUGCUUGAUCUGAUCACCGCGGACGGUGCUACAUUUUAAGUGUGGGGAAGUUGUCCAUCUUCAACAAGCAUAUUUGGGUGACAAUUUCAUUUCCGAACACUUGUAGUUUAGUUCUUAUUAUUAUUAUUAUGCUUUUUAGUUGCUUUGUAUAUAUUUUAUCUUUUUUUGCUUUUUACUUAGUUUAUUACUUUGUUAUGCAUAUUUUGAUAUUUUGCUCUUAAUUUUGGCUUGUACAUAUGCUUUUUGGUUGUUUGUCUUGAUUGUGAUUUGGAUGAUGUGAUGAUUACACCUAGUUUGAUUUCCUAUACACUUGCUAUUUUAGUUUGAUUGAAAUUGGGAAUUAAACUUAGGAUUUUUGACUUUUUUCAUCCAAUCACACUAUAUACAUAUAUAGAAUAAGUGUUAGUCAAUUAAUGAAAUUUCCAAGAAGCUUAUCUUUUGUAUAUAGGGCAUUGGAAAUUCGAAUUGAAUUGAGUCGAAAUUCUAUGAAACUUGCAUGAUUUAUAUAUUGUGGAAUAUGAUUUUUGAGUUAAAGAACAUACAACUUGUGAGUUUUUGAGCCUUAUUGUGUGGUUAUACCAUUUGACCACUUAUUUCAUUUUUGUGUGUUGCUCUUCUCUAAUUGCAAUCUUUGGUUUGUUUAAUUCUAUAUAUUCAUUGUUUAGUGUAUAUUUAUGCAAUUAUGUGAUUGAGGUCAUUAUUUCUUUAUAGCUCACUUAGCCCAAAAAGCCUACCAUUUCAUUCACCUUUGUUUGUCACUUUGAGCCUUUACAAUCUCCUUUUGUUCUUUAUAUUGCCACAUCACUAACCUUUAAGCAAAAAAUAAUUAAUUGUCCUAUUUGAAUCUUUGAGUAGCUUAAGGUAGUGAGAGUGUGUGAUGUUUAAGUGUGGGGAAGAUUUGGGAACAUUGGUAGAUAAAAAUGUGUUUUAUUCUUUGUUGAAAAAUAUUGGAAAUUUCGGGUACAUGCUCAUGUAAGACUAUGGAAACCAUAUGCAUUGAUGAUAGGGGUGUUCAAAACCGAUCCGAACCGAACUAAAUCGACGAACCGAACCGAAAAAACCGAGAAUCGAAUUAACC